GCCCUGAUAGCUCAGACGGAUAGAGCGUCCGCCUCCUAAGCGGAAGGCCAGAGGUUCGAAUCCUCUUCAGGGCG
rnacentral:tRNA from 1 species